CUUUGUUUUGUGGUGUGCGUUUGGUGUGAGCUUGGUGUUUUGUCUUGAGGAAACACGGGUCAGACACAAAAUAAGCCUACUCCUCUAGGAACUAUGUUGAAAAAUUUUAAGAAGGGAUUUAAUGGCGACUAUGGGGUUACUAUGACACCAGGGAAACUUAGAACUUUGUGUGAAAUAGAUUGGCCAACAUUAGAAGUGGGUUGGCCAUCAGAAGGAAGCCUGGACAGGUCCCUUGUUUCUAAGGUAUGGCACAAGGUAACUGGUAAGUCAGGACACUCAGACCAGUUUCCAUACAUAGACACUUGGUUACAGCUGGUGCUAGACCCCCCACAGUGGGUAAGAGGGCAGGCAGCAGCCGUGCUAGUAGCAAAGGGACAGAUAGUCAAGGAAGGAUCCCGCUCCACCCACCGAGGGAAAUCAACUCCUGAAGUUCUGUUCAACCCAACAUCAGAAGAUCCAUUGCAGGAGAUGGCAAAAGUCAUCCCAGUGGUGCCCUCCCCUCACCAGGGAGAGAGGCUCCCCACUUUUGAGUCCACAGUGCUUGUGCCUCUGCAAGACAAACAUAUCCCUAGGCCACCCAGAGUAGACAAGAGAGGAGGUGAAGCCUCAGGAGAAACCCCUCCCUUGGCAGCUCGUUUAAGACCCAAAACGGGGAUACAAAUGCCCUUGAGAGAGGAGCGGUAUACUGGAAUAGAUGAGGAUGGGCACAUGGCGGAGAGGCGUGUUUUUGUGUGCCAGCCCUUCACCUCUGCCCACCUUCUCAACUGGAAAAACAAUACCCCGUCCUGUACUGAAAAGCCACAAGCUCUAAUUGAUUUGCUCCAAACUAUUAUCCAGACCCAUAACCCCACUUUGGCUGAUUGCCACCAGUUGCUCAUGUUCCUCUUUAACGCAGAUGAAAGGCAGAGAGUGCUCCAAGCAGCAACUAAGUGGCUAGAGGAACAUGCACUGGCUGAUUACCAAAAUCCCCAAGAGUAUGUAAGGACCCAGUUACCGGGAACCAGCCCCCAGUGGGACCCAAAUGAAAGAGAGGAUAUGCAAAGGCUAAACCGAUACAGGGAAGCUCUCUUAGAAGGAUUAGAGGGGAGCCCAGAAGGCCACAAACGUUAAUAAGGUCUCUGAGGUCAUUCAGGGAAAAGAAGAAAGUCCAGCACAAUUCUACGAGAGACUGUGUGAGGGCUAUCACAUGUAUACUCCCUUUGAUCCCGAUAGCCCUGAAAAUCAACGCAUGAUUAACAUGGCUUUAGUUAGUCAAAGCGCAGAAGACAUUAGAAGAAAACUGCAGAAACAGGCUGGGUUUGCAGGGAUGAACACAUCACAAUUAUUAGAAAUAGCUAACCAGGUGUUUGUAAACAGGGAUGCAGUAAGCCAUAAGGAAAACAGCAGAGAGAAUGAACGUCAGGCCCGGCGAAACACCGAGCUGUUAGCUGCAGCAAUUAGAGGGAUCUCCCACAAAAAGGCAAGGGAAGGGGGGCCCCGGGAAAGAAACUCAGCCUGGCUGUCAGAGCUUGUAGCGUAAUCAGUGUGCUUAUUGUAAAGAAAUAGGACAUUGGAAGAACAAAUGCCCUCAGCUAAAAGGAAAACAAGGUGACUCGGAGCAGGAGGCUCCAGACAAGGAGGAAGGGGCCCUGCUCAACCUGGCAGAAGGGUUAUUGGACUGAGGGGGACCGGGCUCAAGGACCCCCAAAAAGCCUAUGGUCAGGAUGACAGUUGGGGGUAAAGACAUUGAUUUUCUUAUAGAUACCGGUGCUGAACAUUCGGUAGUAACCGCCCCAGUCGCCCCCUUAUCCAAAAAGACUAUUGACAUCAUCGGAGCCAUGGGAGUUUCAGCAAAACAAGCUUUCUGCUUGCCCCGGACUUGUACUAUAGGAAGACAUAAAGUGAUUCAUCAGUUUUUGUACAUGCCUGAUUGUCCCUUGCCCUUGUUGGGAAGGGACUUGCUUAGCAAACUGAGAGCCACUAUCUCUUUUACAGAGCACGGCUCUUUGCUGCUAAAGUUACCCGGAACGGGAGUCAUUAUGACCCUUACGGUCCCCCGAGAGGAGGAAUGGAGACUUUUCUUAACUGAGCCGGGCCAAGAGAUAAGACCAGCUCUGGCUAAGCGGUAGCCAAGAGUGUGGGCGGAAGACAACCCUCCAGGGUUGGCAGUCAACCAAGCCCCCGUACUUAUAGAAGUUAAGCCUGGGGCCCAGCCGGUUAGGCAAAAACAGUACCUGGUCCCCAGAGAAGCUCUUGAAGGUAUCCAGGUCCAUCUCAAGCGCCUAAGAACCUUUGGAAUUAUAGUUCCUUGUCAGUCUCCAUGGAACACUCCCCUCCUGCCUGUUCCCAAGCCUGGGACCAAGGACUACAGGCUGGUACAGGAUUUGCGCUUGGUUAAUCAGGCUACAGUGACUUUACAUCCAACAGUACCUAACCCGUACAUAUUGCUGGGGUUGCUGCCAGCUGAGGACAGCUGGUUCACCUGCUUGUACCUGAAAGAUGCUCUCUUUAGCAUCAGAUUAGCCCCUGAGAGGCAGAUGCUGUUUGCCUUUCAGUGGGAAGAUCCGGAGUCAGGUGUCACUAUUCAGUACACUUGGACCUGGCUUCCCCAAGGGUUCAAGAACUCCCCCACCAUCUUCAGGGAGGCAUUGGCUUGAGACCUCCAGAAGUUUCCCACCAGAUACCUAGGCUGCGUGUUGCUCCAGUACGUUGAUGACCUUUUGCUGGGACACCCCACGGCAGUCGGGUGUGCCAAGAGAACAGAUGCUCUACUCCGGCACCUGGAGGACUGUGGUAUAAGGUGUCCAAGAAAAAAGCUCAGAUCUGCCAACAGCAGUAUCAGAGAGCCCUGUCGAGCAUGACUGUGUAGAAGUGUUGGACUCAGUUUACUCUAGCAGACCUGACCUCCGGGAUCAGCCUUGGGCAUCAGUAGACUGGGAACUAUACGUGGAUGGGAGCAGCUUUAUCAACCCACAAGGAGAGAGAUGUGCAGGGUAUGCGGUGGUAACUCUGGACACUGUUGUUGAAGCCGGAUCGUUGCCCCAGGGCACUUCAGCUCAGAAAGCUGAACUCAUUGCUUUAAUUCGGGCCUUAGAACUCAGUGAAGGUAAGACUGUAAACAUUUA